rnacentral:rRNA from 1 species
AGUGAACGCUGGCGGUAGGCCUAACACAUGCAAGUCGAACGGCAGCACAGUAAGAGCUUGCUCUUACGGGUGGCGAGUGGCGGACGGGUGAGGAAUACAUCGGAAUCUACUUUUUCGUGGGGGAUAACGUAGGGAAACUUACGCUAAUACCGCAUACGACCUACGGGUGAAAGCAGGGGAUCUUCGGACCUUGCGCGAUUGAAUGAGCCGAUGUCGGAUUAGCUAGUUGGCGGGGUAAAGGCCCACCAAGGCGACGAUCCGUAGCUGGUCUGAGAGGAUGAGCAGCCAGACCGGAACUGAGACACGGUCUAGGCUCCUACGUGAUGCAGCAGUGGGGAAUAGUGGACAAUGGGCUCAAGUCUGAUCCAGCCAUAACGCGUGAGUGAAGAAGGCCUUCGGGUUGUAAAGCCCUUUUGUUGGGAAAGAAAAGCAGCAGGUUAAGACCCCUCUGGUCUGACGGUACCCAAAGAAUAAGCACCGGCUAACUUCGU